CCAAAGGGAAACUCAACGGGUUUGGCUGUGAUCAAAACAGUGGGUGUGUGUGGCAGAACAAAAGCGAGAACUGCUUAUUCCGACUAGUGGAGGAGCCCAGCUUUGCGGCCAGACGGUGCCUUUGCCGGGUGUUACGGCCCAUCUCGGCCCCCGUAGCCGAGCCGAGCUCAGCCGCUGGGCGGCAGCCGCCUUGGCCAUGGCGGGUGAGCUGGAGAGCUGCAAGCCCCUGAGCGGGCUGCUGAGCGGGCUGGCGCAGAACGCGUUCCACGGAAACUCGAGUAUCACCGAGGAGCUGCUGCACAGUCAACUCUAUCCGGAAGUGCCCCCGGAGGAGUUCCGCCCCUUCCUGGCGAAGAUGAGGGGCAUUCUAAAGUCUAUCGCAUCUGCAGACAUGGAUUUCAACCAGUUAGAGGCAUUCUUGACUGCUCAGACCAAAAAGCAGGGUGGCAUCACCAGUGAACAAGCUGCAGUCAUUUCCAAGUUUUGGAAAAGCCACAAGACAAGAAUCCGAGAAAGCCUCCUGAACCAGAGCCGCUGGGACAACGGUCUGCGGGGCCUGAGCUGGAGAGUGGAUGGCAAGUCACAGUCCAGGCAUGCGGCUCAAAUAGACAGCCCUGCUGCCAUUGUGGAGCUGGAGUUGGGGAAGAGCGGGCAGGUGAGUUCACCCCUGCUGCCAUUGUGGAGCUGGAGUUGGGGAAGAGCGGGCAGGUGGAGACAGCACGAACUCUGAAGUCAGCCAGGGCUGGGAGUGCAGUAUCUGACUGUGCCAUUUUAAACUUUUCAGGAAUCGGAAUUUCUGUGUCUGGAAUUUGACGAGGCUAAAGUCAAGCAGGUCCUGAAGAGACUGUCGGAGGUGGAAGAGAGCAUCGGCAUGCUGAUGCAGGCAGCCUGACGCGUGCGUGCGUGCGACUGGACAGAGUGUUGGAGUGUUCGAGAGCCUUGCCGUCGACCCUGUGACUCCUGUGUCCCCACUGGGGGUACCCACGGGCAUUGCGUACAUAUGCAAAAGUCUCAAAGAAUAAAUAAAAAACAUAUUUUAAAAAAUGA